rnacentral:rRNA from 1 species
CUACGGGAGGCACCAGUGAGGAAUAUUGCACAAUGGGGGGAACCCUGAUGCAGCAACGCCGCGUGGAGGAUGACGCAUUUCGGUGUGUAAACUCCUUUUAUAUGUCAAGAAAAUGACGGUAGCAUAUGAAUAAGCACCGGCUAACUCCGUGCCAGCAGCCGCGGUAAUACGGAGGGUGCAAGCGUUACUCGGAAUCACUGGGCGUAAAGGACGCGUAGGCGGGUUGGAAAGUCAGGUGUGAAAUCCUACAGCUUAACUGUAGAACUGCACUUGAAACUUCUAAUCUAGAGUAUGGGAGGGGGAGAUGGAAUUAGUGGUGUAGGGGUAAAAUCCGUAGAUAUCACUAGGAAUACCUAAAGCGAAGGCGAUCUCCUGGAACAUUACUGACGCUAAGGCGUGAAAGCGUGGGGGGCAAACAGGAUUAGAUACCCGCGUAGAC